rnacentral:rRNA from 1 species
AUUGAACGCUGGCGGCAUGCCUUACACAUGCAAGUCGAACGGCAGCGGGCCUUCGGGUGCCGGCGAGUGGCGAACGGGUGAGUAAUGCAUCGGAACGUGCCAUUGAGUGGGGGAUAACGUAGCGAAAGUUACGCUAAUACCGCAUAUUCUGUGAGCAGGAAAGCAGGGGACCGCAAGGCCUUGCGCUCUUUGAGCGGCCGAUGUCAGAUUAGCUAGUUGGUGAGGUAAAGGCUUACCAAGGCGACGAUCUGUAGCGGGUCUGAGAGGAUGAUCCGCCACACUGGAACUGAGACACGGUCCAGACUCCUACGGGAGGCAGCAGUGGGGAAUUUUGGACAAUGGGGGCAACCCUGAUCCAGCCAUUCCGCGUGAGUGAAGAAGGCCUCGGUGUAAGACUCUUUCUAGCAGGAACGGAAACGGUACGGCCGACUAAUACUGGCUACUAAUUAGACGGU